rnacentral:lncRNA from 1 species
AUUUCUAAAGGGUUAUGAUUUCGAGUUGAACUACCACCCUGGUGAAGCAAAUGUAGUGGCAGACGCGUUGAGUAGGAAGACGUAUGUUAGCACUCGUGGCAAGAGAGAUAAGACUGAUCGAGGAAUUUUAGAGACCUUAGCCUAGUACUGUACGGAAGCCUAGGAGUGUGAAACUAGGAAUGUGGGGGUUAACCAGUGCUAUGUUGGAAGAAACCAGAGAAGGUCAGAAGUGAAACUUGAGGUUAGUCGACCUGUUUAGAAUUAAUUAACUUGGGUAAAAGAAGUGAGUUACGAAGUUGCCGAGAAUGUGGUCAUGAGAUUCAAGAACAGAGUUGAAUAAUAGAAGCCAAUAGGAUUGUUGAAGCUGCUGAAUAUUCCAAAGAGGAAGUUGGGAUAGUUGCUUGCCAUUGAUAGAGUUACUUACAAU